rnacentral:rRNA from 1 species
UACGUAGGGGGCAAGCGUUGUCCGGAUUUAUUGGGCGUAAAGAGCGUGUAGGCGGCUUGACAGGUCUGCUGUGAAAACUCGAGGCUCAACCUCGAGAUGUCGGCGGAAACCAUCUGGCUAGAGUCCGGAAGAGGAGAGUGGAAUUCCUGGUGUAGCGGUGAAAUGCGCAGAUAUCAGGAAGAACACCUAUGGCGAAGGCAGCUCUCUGGGACGGUACUGACGCUGAGGAGCGAAAGCGUGGGUAGCAAACAGG